GCAGAAUUCAGCGAGUCAUCGAAUCUUUGAACGCACAUUGCGCCCGCCAGUAUUCUGGCGGGCAUGCCUGUCCGAGCGUCAUUU
rnacentral:rRNA from 1 species